UAUCAUGAAAUGAUAAGAAUAAAAAAUUAUUAUUAAUAUAAGUAUUUUCAUAAAAUUUGUUACAAAAAUAAACAGAACAACCAUUGUUCUUAGCUUUAUUUCAAAAUCUUAUUCUAAUAACAAUGAGAUAGAAAUAAUAUUUCUAAUAAUUUUUGAAAUAUAAUAAUAAAUUUUUAGUUCCAAAACUUUGCCUGUAGGCAUCUUCAAUACCUUGGUUCCUACGACUUCGGCCUAGAUGGACUCUCCACUAGCAUCGAAUAGUAUGAAGUCACCUUCAUUCAGACUCCUUAUUUUCUACAGACUCUGCAAUGAUUUAUAAAGGUAUGAGCCACAGGCAGUAUCCCAUACCCAAAAAUCUGAAGUUGAAGUACUUAACAAUAAGUUUGUUUGUAUUAUAUAUAAAUCUUUAGCAACAUUUGCCACCUUGUGCUUCAAAGUUGCAAGGUAUUCCUCAU
rnacentral:lncRNA from 1 species